CCUGAGCUUCGAGUGACGGCUCGCUCCUUGUCCCCUGCGGCGUCCUCUGCAAAGCUCUUCGCUGUGCCCGGCGCUGCCCCGCGCCCGGUCGUGAGCUGUCGUGUGGGAAUUUGAAAAUGUAUUCCUAGGCAUCCUUCCCCCGGACUGCUCCUUCUUUUCACUUACUUGAGCCUUACAUGUGUUGAGACCUGAUUCUCCCCUACUCUCAGAGCACCCCCGUGCAGAUUUAACAGUUUAGGAAAUCAUAUUCGACCUUCGUAUCUGUUAAUGCUUAGGGUUUGAUUUGUGGAUUUCCAUUCCCACCUGGUUUCAAGGUGUGGCGCCCGGUGGGGUUUUGGCUCUUAUUUUCUGUGUGCUUUAAGCAUUUGUUCAGCACGGCAAGGGCUCAGAAAAUACAAGUUACUUUUAGGUAACCUAAAAGGAUAGGUAACCUAAAAGGAUAGGUAAAUACUAGCUGUUACAGCAAAUGCACUGCACUUCCUAUAAAAUAAUGAUUUCUGGAAUAGGUGUAAGUUCUAGUUAACUCUUAUGAUUUCUCAAUACUGUAAGCCUGUACUAUUUAAAGAGAUGUACUGGCACGUAGAAAUGAUUUAAAAACAUCACUGUGCACUGUACUUCUGUUAUUCUGAUUUACAAGUUAAGUAUGUACAAGGCAAGGUUUGGGGUUUUUUUAAUAAGAAACUAUUGCAAUAGUUUAUACAAAUCUGAGAUAAAAAUGAAUUAUUGAGGGAUUUGGUCAGCCUAGGGAAGAAACUCAAAACUGACAUGGGGUUGAGAGUUAAUUAUAAUGAUGGCAAAGUGGUAGUUGAAACUGUAGCUUCUGGGUUAUGCAGGUGAAAAUAAAAUGGGGAUGUAAACUGUCUAUGGUAACAUCUCACUGGAAAGAUCUGUAUCUGUAAUUUUCUAAUCUGGAGGAGUAUCUGGAGAUAUUCCUUCAGAUUAGAAAAUUAUUUUCCUACACUAUAGUUCACUUUAGAAACACUUUUGUGGUGAUUUAGCAUUCUUUUCUAAUUUGUGACCAGAAGUGGGAGAAGGGAGAGGCUGAUGGGGACUGAGGGCCCCUCUCCUGGGGCUCAUUCUUGUGCUGCCUUCAAGGAAGGCUGUCCCUUAGGCAUAGGGACUGUCCCCCACUAAGGAGCCUCCUCCUCCUGUGGGGUCCCCUCAACAAGACUACAACACACCAAGUGUGCCCUCACUCUCUGCUCAUAUGAAGAACAAAGCUUCUCUCUGCUUUUGUGGCCUCCUUGCUUACCUGCUCCUGCUUUAGGUAGGAAGAACCAGAGGCAGCAUCUGUACCGGAGUCUUCCCACAAGUUUCCAGGAAAAACCUGCCCUUCUCAGACAACUGCCAGAAGGUGGCUUGAAGGCAUGAGAAGAAUGAGGUGAGAGAAUGUCUGCGAGGACAAGCUGUGGUGGACCAACGCCCCAUGCUGUUAUCAAUCCUGCUUCUUGGAGUGGAGAUUUCCAUCAUAGCUUUGACUGUUUCAGGGUCGUUUUGACCCUCUCUCAAUCACAAGCUGAUAAGUACCAUAGUCUAGUUAGCUGUGCUACUUAUUUUUCUCUCUCCAAAUAAUUACAUGGUUAUUUCAUUUCAGGCUGGAAACUCCUUUAACUGAAGGGUGGAAAACCUCUGAAUAGAUACAUUCCCAGCUUUCUGGGGCUGUGUCAAUAACCCCUCUGAUGAUGGUAAUUCUUAAACUAUGCUAAGACACAUGGAAAAUAAGGAGGUGAUUGGUGAUAUCAGGCCAAACCUGUCUUUGCCAGAGCAAAUCAUGCCUGAAAAAUUUGCUUUUAAAACACACAAGAGCAUGUGUUCAGAGAAACAGGCAUGAUGUUCCCUCCAAAAGACUUUAGAGUUAGAACUGAGGAUCCAUAAUAUAUUUAGAAGUAAAAAGUAAAGUUGGGGGAGAACUGUUCUGAAGGUAAGUACCAGUAUUAAUACUGGUACAGGACAUGGGGGUAAUUUCAGACUUGAAGCCACAUGGAAAAGUCACAAAAAGAAGACAGAAGAGGAAUGAUACUUUGUGUAGGAACUGUUAAGACAUCUAAGUUGUUACAAUCAAUUUUGGUGCUUUUAACUGAACAGAGGGUGCCUUGAAAAUGAAACCACAAACAGCAAGAAAAACAGGAAGUAAAAGGUAGGGUACUGCUGUGGUUGCAGCAGAAAGUGUAUCACAGCAAUUUUUUGGCUUCUCAUUUCCAGUACUGGAAAUAUUUUUUAGAAGUAGAGCAAAAAGGUUUGUGGUAACAGACAUAUAGUGCAUGUAUAUCCUACAAAUCUCACACACAACUAGAAAUAAUAUGAAGGUCUCAUUAAAGGAGAAUGUAGCACUCGAUUCCUGAUGCAGUUUUCAUUUGAUUUCUUAUGCAAAUCAAUAUUUUAUUACUUUUUUUUCAACUUAUCUGCAGUUUAUAAGUGCCUUGCUCAUCACAGAGCAGAUAAGUAGUAUCUGAUUGUUUGGCAGAGGCUAAGUAUCCACCAGAUAUUUACGAGAUCAUGGUAGUAGUUUUAAAAAUUCCUGUCUUUUAAAAUUAUAUCAACUUCUGUCUCGUCUGUCAUGUCACUAUAUACACAUGAUAUGUGCAUAUAGUGUACAUAUCAUCCAGUUAUUGAUGGGCAAAAAAGGGCAGUCAGCAUGGGGCGGGGCUUAUUCUUGUGAUGUUUAGGGAUUUAGGGAAGUUUAUUUACUCUUAUUUUUUAUAAACCUUGGGGCUAAUGGGAGGAGGUGUCAGCAGUGGUAUUUCCUAGGAAUUUAUACCCAGCAUCUGUGCUUCAAUGUUAAAAUAAAAUUCCCAAAUGGGGGUACAAAAUGAUGUGACAAAGUUUGCUGAUGACUUGGAAUUAAGGAAUUACUUAGAGGAACAAUAUAGAAAGAAAAUCUUUUGCUUCCUAUCUGCAGAGUAUCUCCUGAUACUCAGUAGCCAGGUGGUAAAGCAGUAAAAGAUAUGUCAGUAAUGUGAACUGACUUGUCUUGAAGAAAAGGCAGCCUUGGCUUUUUUUAAUCUAUUUCUCAUUUUGCUCAGAUUGUGGAUGUGUAAUAAGAAGGUUCUGUGGUAUCAUUGGUGCAAUGUUUAGAGGAGAUCAAAAUAGCAAGUACUAGGAAUAAUGGAAUUGCUAGGAAAAUAAUAGAAUAUAAUGAAAGGGAUUGUUACAUUGCAGCAAAAAUCCAUUGUACAUCUGUAUGGGAAGUAUGACAUGCAGGUUUAUUGUCAUGAAGAGUAGCUUGCUGGAAGUAAAUAGAAAUGGUCACUAUUUUUCAGAAUAACAAGAAAAUAACAAGAAAAAUGAAAUCCUGUGACAGAUUCAGUGGUGCAUGCUGAACAUUGGUGCGUGUCUUUCCUCAGUAUUGCAGGCUGAAAUUUGUCAACUCUCGUCUGUGAAGAGUUAUCCCCCUUUUUGGGCUGCAUUGCAAAUCAGAGUUAAAGUAUAAGCUUAUUAACUGCUUUGUGGGGAAAGAUGAGGUAGAAUCUGAUGUAUCUUUAAAAGAUUUAAGAGAUGAAAGUUCAGGGUGCACUUUUCCCUUUCCUAAGUGUGUUGUGAAAGGUGCAGUUCUGCUCUUUAAGCACUUUGGAUGAAAACUGCUAUAAAACAGUAAAAUAAGAAAAUUGAGGGUUUAAACGAGGAUUCAUGGCCUUUCAUUUUUCUGUCACAGAGCUAUUUGAGGAGAAGUGGCUCUCACUCCCCAGUCCGUUCCCUGAGUAAUUUUUCCCUGCUGCACUUCCAUGGGGAAUGUGCUGAAGACUGAAUCUUUGAGUCAGAGGGUAGCAAGAGUAUUUUGGUCUGGAAGCCAAUUCCCCAGCCUUUCUAGACCCUCCCCAUUAUGAAGCACCCUUUUGUCCACUGUUUCAUCCCAUUGUGCUGAAAUGAAACAUCAUGCUUGUGGACAUCUGUAGACCAGUGCUGACAAUAUUGACAAUUAUUGAAACUGAAAAUACAACACCCAAAAUAUAUCCGUGUGCUCAUUGGAACAAUGAGUUAUAGACUGGAUGUGGUUUUGUUUCUCACACUGAAAAAAAGGGCAGUAUUUAGUAAAAAAGCAUUGUUGGUGUCCCUGCUGGACCCUAACAUUAUCUUAUUCCUGAAAAACUCACUGAGGAAAUUUGAAUGUUACAAGAAUAAGAGGAUAUGGUUGCAAGCUCUGCUUCAUCCUGUGUUGUUUUGGACCCUGGCCAUCAGGAAACAUUUUGGCUCUCUCAGAGAUGAAACACUUUCUCUUCAGAAGUAGUAGUGUGAGCAAGAUGUGUAAAUAAUCUGUGGCAAGCAGCGACUUUGUGACAGAAAGGGAUAUCAUCUAAACCUUUCCUUUCUUUGAUGAAAUUUUAAAGAGAUUUCUACAACUGAUGUGCCAGGAGGGAAUUUGCAAGGUUUGCAUUGACCUACAUAAACCGUAUUUGAACAUAAAAGCAGAUUAAAAGUUGUUUCACUCUGCUUCUGUUACCCUUUGUACUCUGUCAGCCACUGAUCUUUAUUCUUUGUUAAUCCAUAUAUGUUUAAUGCAGCAUUGCAAAUAUUUUUCCUCAUGUCUUAAGUAUUCAUAAAAAUAAGGCUGGUGAGAAUAUUUGAAAGAACAUUGUUUGUAAUUUUCUUGCUUCUGCACAGCUGUGUGUCUAGAAACUGGAAACACAGGCAGACGAAUGGAAAUAAAUCACAAUGCAAACUGUUUCAAAAGAAAUUAUGUAUCCUGGAGUAUCCCAGAUCAGGAUAACAUUUUGUUGCAUAGCUUGAGUUUUAUUUCAAAAGAUUGACUCUAUAUAGAUAUUUGCUUUUCUAUCUUAACUAGUUAUUUUACUAAAUGUAUUUAAUUCAGAUAAAAAGUUAUGUGGUUGAUCUGAUCAAUUUAUGCCGUAGGUCAGUGGAGGGGAAGCAGAGAAAGGACAGUCUGAAGCAAAGGGAAUGGAAAACCUUGUGGAGGAAGAAAGCCAAGAUUGUCACAAAAUGCUAUAACUAAUACUCCGAAGAAUAUGUGUUUUGCAGAAGCAGGAAUGAAAUAGGGAGGAUGACUGUGGAGUCCAAGAAGGAUUAUCUGACACGUGAUUUCUCUGAAGAAAUUCACCCUAGAAGAUCAGAAGAGAAAUUCCCAAUGUGCUCUGCACACCCAUACUUGGGUGUACCAGCUCAGUCCACACGGAGUUCCUGCUACAUUGGUGGAAUUGUUCUGUUGGAUGGUGUAUUCACAGAGAUAGGGCUUGUAACAAGGCCAGAACUGUGUGGUAAGUCCAUCAGCUGUACCCCGUGUCUUGAAAUUUCUCAGUGAGCUGUGCACACAUGACCACACACUGCUUUUUUUUUCCCUUCCCACGCACACAAACACUGUGGUAAUUUGUUCAGUGAGUUGUGACAUGUAUUAAUGCUGUUAGCCUCUGAUAUUGGGUUCUUUUUUUCUGGGGGCUGACCACAACAAUCCUAUCUGAAAAGUUUUCCAUCAAACUCAGAGCUAAUUUUCAUUAAAGGUCUCUCCAGUUUAGUCCCUCAAGCAUGGGUGUCUUUCUACUCCCUCCUUGAAUGCAAGGAGCAAAGGAAAGCAAUAAAUCCCUUUGAAUAAUGUGCCAGUGCUCUACUGUUACAUAACUAAUGAAUGUCAUCCCUAAGUAGAAGAUGCCUAUUUACCAACAAAAGAAUAUUGGCAAGGAUUUAAAGUAUUUAAAAAUAAUUCUGCUGCUUGCAGAAUUUGGGUCAUUGACCCUUAACAUGAAAACUGGUUUUACAAAUGUCCUCCAGGGAACACAUUGUGUACUUAAUUUUCCUUAUGAAAACUACAAAAAAUUGUACACUAAAAUGCAAGUAUUGAUUAAGGCCCAGACUCACAACAGAUUAAGGCUUAGACAGGGAUAUGAAAACACUUCAGAGAAUGUACUUGAUAGGAUAAUUUCUUUUUACCAAUGCACACUGUGUGACUACAAGUAAAAGUAUGACAUAAGGAAUUGUUCAAUACAUUUUUAAUAGUAGAAUAUUUGCAUGGGCUUGCAAUGCUUAAAGAACUGUGAAAUUUUGUUACUGAGGAACAUAGGGUAGCUACAAGAAGCUUCAUGCAAUUAGCUUGUAUAAGAAAGGUAAAACCACAUUUUGUUGGGAAGGGCUUGGAUCCUUCAUGGAGCUACAGGAAUAUGGGCAGCUGGGAGAAGACCUUAUUAACCCUUUUCUUAGCCUGUGGAAGUCUCUCUCUUGUGUAGGACUCCUAUUGGUAGUGCUGGUUGGUUUGUUUGAACUUCUCAAUAUGGGAUAAUUCAAGUGAAUACUCAAUAUGCAGUUUUAUCAUCCUCUGCCUUUGGAUGUCUGAUUAAGCAUGACUAGUUGUGAUUGGGAUUUUAAAUACUAGCAGGCUUCCAAAUUACCUCAAUUAUCUUUGCCCCAGGAAUGAUUGCUAUUUCCAGGCAUGCAUCCUGUUGCCCGCAGUUUCUCACACAGGAUUUCUGGCACCAUUCUUACAGUAAUAGCCCUUAGCACAGCACACUACAGACUAAAAACUGUCCCACAGUACCUCCUGAGUACACUGCAGCACUGACACACUUUCUGCAUGCAUUUUCUAACUCUUCUGUUCCACUCUAUUUUAGGAAUAUUCAGAAACUUCAUUUUUUUUAGAUUUAUUUAAAAUUAUAGCAGUUGUGUCUGCUUAGACUAUAUUUUAUCCCAAAAGCAUUUCUUACAGUUUCUUCUCUCAGUAAAUAAACCAUCUGCAAAGGGGAGUUUGUAAAAAAAAAAAAAAAAAAAAAAAAAA